rnacentral:rRNA from 1 species
GAACGAGAAGCCACCUUCGGGUGGUGGACAGUGGCAGACGGGUGAGUAACGCGUGGGAACGUGCCUUUCGGUUCGGGAUAACCCANGGGAAACUUGGGCUAAUACCGGAUACGCCCUCCGGGGGAAAGAUUCAUUGCCGAAAGAUCGGCCCGCGUCGGAUUAGCUAGUUGGUGGGGUAAUAGCCUACCAAGGCGACGAUCCGUAGCUGGUCUGAGAGGAUGACCAGCCACACUGGGACUGAGACACGGCCCAGACUCCUACGGGAGGCAGCAGUGGGGAAUAUUGGACAAUGGGCGCAAGCCUGAUCCAGCCAUGCCGCGUGGGUGAAGAAGGCCUUAGGGUUGUAAACCCCUUUCAGCGGGGACGAUAAUGACGGUACCCGCAGAAGAAGUCCCGGCUAACUCCGUG